AAGUCGUAACAAGGUAACCGUAGGUGAACCUGCGGUUGGAUCAUUAACAAAAUUGGUAGUCUUUUUUUUUUAUAAAAAAAAGCUAUUUUAACACCAAUGUGAACUUGUAUUAUUGUUUCUUUUUCUUUUUUUUUUCUUGAUUAAAUAAAUUUUUUUGGUUUGACCAAAAAGUUUUUUUAUUUUGAGGAGGGAAAGAAAAAACCAUUUUAAACUUAAAAAGAAUUUAUAUAUUUUGACCUUUAAAUAAAAGUGUUUUAUACUUUAAAAAAAAAAUAAUUUAAAAAAACAACUUUUGGCAACGGAUCUCUAGGCUCUU
rnacentral:misc_RNA from 1 species